UUAAUUGUCUGUACAUUGUCCCAUCCUGUCACUAAUCUUGUCCUUCUUGCCUUCUCCCCAUAUUCCUUGUUUCUCCUUGCAUUGCUUAUCUCAGUUCAUCUUCCCUUAUCUGCUACCCUUCCUGCCCUAAGGAUCGGAUGUAAAGCAAGCCAGCUUGCUUCUCUUCCCAUGUCACUGCUCAGCCGGGAUACCAAGAAAUCUUUCAUCUGGUAUAAGACAGUUAAUUUGGUUUUUGAGGAUCAUGUUGAGGUAUAUUUGUUCAUGUAACAGAAGUGGAGAGCUAAGGCAAGAGUAACACUGAUUGCUCUUCUCAAAAUUGAGAAGCUGACCUGUUUCUUGGAGCACCAAAUCUAUGUGCACCUAUUUCUUAAGACUGCCCCUAGCAAUGGCCAGCCCUUCUGCAGCUGUAUCCCAGCUCCGUACCUUGAGAAGUCAUCUAGGAUUGCCUGGGGAGAUGCCAAACAUUUAGAACAACAAAGUUCUGGAGUUUCACUGGUGGUGCACCCUCAAUGAGAUUUGCUCAGUGCAGACCAUCUUUCUGGUGAAAUGUUAGGCUCAGAGUUAGAAGCUAAGAAAUGAGGGGAAGAUGGUAGGGAGGAUGGAGUACCACCCUGGGAAAUAACGUUAAACAUCUUCCAAUUGAUUGUUGUCCAUUUAUCAAACAACCAAUCUGCCCUUAAGAAAUUUAUAUUAUGUAAAAACACAAAUAUAUUAUUUUCUUACUUUUUACAUUUUCAUGUCAGAAUCUAGAUAUCAACAGGGUGGGUGAGAUCUAAAUGCUUUCUUUUCUAAAUGCUUUCUUCUCCUCUUUGCUCCGACCGACAGAGAAAGUACAAGAAAAAAAUCAAGAUCUGACCUUAAAAUUACCAGUCACUGAGGUUCAGUCCUAAGUUCCUACAAAAAGUACUAACUGCUUUGAAAAUACACUGUCACUACUGGAGAAACAUCACUGAUAAGUAAUGUUUUGUUCCCUCUGAAAAAAAGUGUUCUUUAUAGUAAGGUGACAAAAGCCUUUUGUUUGGAAAGACUGGCAAGAAUCAAUUCCCAAUUAAAUGCAAAGAUAUUUCUUUCUGUGACUCUAAACCAUUAACAGCUAAGAUUACUGGCAUUUCUUCAUUUCAGAAGUUACAUUAGUUCAUCUAUAUCAUUUGGGAGUUGCAAUUAUUAAUCCUGACUUUUCCUGCAUAAGGGAAGCUUAAAAAUUACUACUAUUUUUAGCUUCAGCUCGUAUUUCUGUGAGAUGGACAGCUAAACCUACAACAGCUAUAUUAAGUAUAUCGUGAAACAAACAUAUACUGUGUAAAACUCUCAUGAGUGUAUAUUGAUUGAGCCUUGAGAGGGUCAGUGCAGGAAUACAAUCUGCUGUUCAUUGCACCAGAUGAAACUGGUAACCAAAAUAAUGAAGCAGAGCUGAUUUUGCACAGAUGUAUUCAAAAAACUGAAAUCCAUAUAUACUUAAUAAGGUCAACAUAUUUUUAUUUGAUGCAAAUACACAUACGUAUGUCUUAUUUACAGUGCAAAUAAAACAGUCUGAUCUUCCUAAUUUUGGCCCUGGAAAACACCUACUGACAUUCACAAAGUAUGCAAUAUGAGGCAUGAGGGUUUUGUCUGUUCCUAGCAUUAACUACAGAACUGUAGAACCGUGUAUUUUGGAAGGGAACUCAUGAGAUCAUCUUGGCCUUUUCCCUGCUCAAAGCAGGGACAGCUUCAAAGUUAGAUCAGGCCAUUUUCAGACAAGUUUUGAAUGUCUCAAAGAGUAAUAAAUAUUUGAAGAAUCAAGGGACAAGAAUCUGUUCAUCAUUUUUUAUUACUGACCAAUAUUUGUAUUGUUCUUCCAGCUUCAAAUCCUGUGAUGACCCCUUCUUACAUACCUCUUAUGAAUUCUCCUUUCCGAACAGUUGAAUCAGUGGGAUUGAUAAUUUUUUGUCUGCAUUACCUUGAGAUUACUCUUUUGUAACCAUCAUGUAGACUUGAUAGAGGAGAUAAUGCCAUGAAAAAGUCUUUAAAAUACAUUGUUCAUACAUUAGCCCUCCUUUGAAAUAAUCAAAUGUCCCAAUGGAAAAAAAAGCUACAUAAUUCUGUCCUGGUUUAUUUAUUUAUUUGGUUGGUUUUUUAUGAAUAUGCCAUUUCCAGUGGAAGAAGAAACAUCAGUUUAGAGGAAAUUGAUUAUACUUUUCAUUAAUAGAUUUUUUGUUGCUGCUCAUGUGUGUUUGAAUAUUUAUCUGGUUAACCUACUUAAUGUCAUCUGUUUGUUUAUUUGUUUGUUUUCGCAUUGAGAUAGAAGAACAGCAUGCAUGAGUACUUGAUCUGAGGAUGAAAUCAUAACUGACAGGAUUGAUUUAACUGUAAUGAGUAAUUUCAUCAGAGGAAAGAUUUGUUCCGUCAGUUCAACUAAAUUGGAGGCUGAAUUUUAACAAGGUCCCAUCCACUAUAGUAAUGAUUAGAUCUCCCCACGAAAAUCUAAGUGUUAAAUAGAAGGUGGCUUGCUUCUCCACUCUCUGCUGCUUUUGGAAUAUCCUGUAUUUCCUGAGUAUUGUUGUUCUGUUUGUGCUGUUAAGCCUGUGUUACCCUGAAAAAUGAAGAGUUAAGUGG
rnacentral:lncRNA from 7 species